AGUGAACGCUGGCGGCGUGCCUAACACAUGCAAGUCGAACGAGAACGGUCCUUCGGGAUGUCAGCUAAGUGGCGCACGGGUGAGUAACAGAUAGCUAACAUGCCUUUUGGAGAGGGAUAACUACUGGAAACGGUAGCUAAUACCUCAUACUCCAUAUCUUUUGAUGAGAUAUGGGAAACAAUUUUUUGCCAAAAGAUUGGGCUAUCUCCUAUCAGCUAGUUGGUAAGGUAAAAGCUUACCAAGGCUAUGACGGGUAACUGGUUUGAGAGGAUGAUCAGUCACACUGGAACUGAGACACGGUCCAG
rnacentral:rRNA from 1 species